UUAACCCUGUUACUUGGACAAGAUUUGUUCUAUGGGCUUGUACAAUUGUGUCCUUGAUUUCUAAGGAAUCAUGACCGUGAGAUCAGAGCGUGAUUAACGACCAAGAUGAUCU
rnacentral:snoRNA from 1 species